GAUACUACCAGUAGUGGGCAUAUUCAGUUACACGGCCGUACGUACGACGCGUUAUUAUUCCGGUUGCGCGUUGUCGAAUUGUUGACGGCGCGAUAUAACGACAAGUCACGCCCGCCGUCCGUCUUCCGCGCGCGCAAUACGUCAUUUUACUCGUCACUAUCGUUUGAUAAUGUCGUAGCGGCCGUACUAGUCGAAAUACUAUUGUUGGCGAAUGUAUAACACAUUGUGUUGAUUAUAAUUACAAUUACCCUGCAGCAGUGUUACCCGUUGGGCGUUUCAGACAUUUCCCCCGCGCUCACAAAUAUAUCGUUUACAAAUGAUCGGUGGCGCGACCGGAAUUUAUUUUUAGGGGGCGGGG